AUACCAGCACUUGGGAAGUAGAG
rnacentral:piRNA from 1 species